GGGUGAAGGCCCCAGUGCAGCAGCAACCGCACAUGAUGGAGACGAUGAUGAGGAGGAGACCAUCUCUCUGGAUUCCAGAAGGCAUGAGGACCCAAAUGCUAUACAGUGGGAAAACCAGCCUGGCAACAUAGUGCGUAUUAAUAAAAGGACACCACAUCCUGCCAAAUUCCAGCUGCGCUAAUUGUAUUGUGUUCACAGAGCUCACAAGCUAUCAGAAAGUUGUAUGGCAACCACCUCCGGCGCCAAAUAGAACUGGCAGACAUAGACAUUCAGUACAAGAAGAAAAAGAUGGAAAAUCUUGCACUGGAGUCCGAAAUAAAAAAGAGGACAAUUAGGAAACUGGACCUUGAAAUAAAAAAACUUGAGAGGGAGCUCCAAGAAGAUGACACAGCUCAAAAUAAAAAUUAGCAAUCAGUACAACCAAGUCAUCGUUAUAAGGCAUCGCCCUCUUUUGCCCACCCCCCCAGCACCAGGUGUGGCCACUAGCCUAUAUGAAGGCCCAAAAUUGUGUGUUCCUUUCUGCUCUGACAAUGGCAUGCCCAUUCGUGCGAGAUGUGGUGGAUGAAGAAGCACUUGUGCUGAGGAGAGCCUUCAGGCGAGAAAGGGUCUUCAGGGACCGGUUGGACCCACUGGCCUUCCCUGAUGACCAUCUAUAUGAAAGAUACAGGCUUUCUGCAGAUGGCAUCAGGUAUCUAUGCAGACUACUGGGUCCCAGGAUUAAGCACCGCACUGCACGGAGCCAUGCACUGAGUGUGGAGCAAAUGGUUUGUGUGGCCUUGCGCUUUUUUGCUAGUGGAGCCUUCCUGUACUCAGUGCAGAACAGCUGAACAAGGCCACAAUUUGCCGCACAAUAAGGAGUGUGUCUGGCUAUCAAAGCAUUAGCAGAUGUCUUCAUCUCCUUCCCUGGCCACAGAAGACUCUGUGACAUCAAAGAGGAGUUCUAUAGGAUUGCAGGUUUCCCCAAUGUCAUUGGUGCAGUGGACUGCACACACAUAAGGAUAAAAGCCCCCUCAGGUGCCCAUGAGGCCGAUUUUGUGAAUAGGAAAUCCUUUCACAGCAUUAAUGUUCAGAUGGUCUGCAAUGCUGACUGUGUGAUCAGCAAUGUUGUGGCAAAAUGGCCUGGCUCAGUCCAUGACUCCAGAAUCUUUCGGGCCUCUGAAAUCUAUCACAAGGUGAAUUCUCUGGUGUGUUGCUGGGAGACAGGGGGUAUGGCUGCCAGCCUUUUCUCCUGACACCUUUCACAGACCCCCAGGAAGCACAGCAGGCCUACAACCAUGCCCAUGCCAGGACCAGGGCCAGAGUUGAAAUGACCUUUGGCCUCCUGAAGGCACGCUUUCACUGCCUUCACAAAUUAAGGGUCAGCCCUGUUAGGGCAUGUGAUAUUACUGUGGCUUGUGCUGUCCUCCACAAUGUGGCCUGCCUGAGGAAGGAGAGGGCCCCCAGAGUGCCACCAGCCAUGGACUGGGACAAUCCGGCAAUCUUCCCUGAUGACGACAGUGGUCGGCUGCUGAGAGACCAAUAUGUGUUGAAUUAUUUUAGUUAGUAUGUGUGCUUUCAAUUUUGGUUAAAUAUGUCCUGCGGUGGCAGAGGAAUUUGGGUUUUUUUGGGUUCGUUUUUGACGAAUUUGGCCUCUUAUGAUGUUUGUGCGGUAUACUGUGUGUAAUACAAGGCUGCAGGGAGGCUACUGCAUCCAUUCAUUUGUCUGUUCAGUUGAUGUGUAUGGAUUUGUCCUGCAUUUAUUUUAGUGUGCAGACAUGCAGGGUGUGUUAUAUACAGACCUUUGAAUGUGUAUGUAUCAUUUUGUAUAAUAUGCUUGGAUUCUGUGCUUUCCAUCUUGUAGAGUCACUGUGACUUCAGUUUCGAAAGGAGCUGAUGGUUUACCUGCUUUGUUUUGUCCUUAUUCAAUAAAGGAACAUAAUGUUACACAUUGUGUUUUUAUAUUCA